rnacentral:rRNA from 1 species
CGGAACGGGUGAGUAACGCGUGAGGAACCUGCCUCAAAGAGGGGGACAACAGUUGGAAACGACUGCUAAUACCGCAUAAGCCCACGGGUCGGCAUCGACCAGAGGGAAAAGGAGCAAUCCGCUUUGAGAUGGCCUCGCGUCCGAUUAGCUAGUUGGUGAGGUAAUGGCCCACUAAGGCAACGAUCGGUAGCCGGACUGAGAGGUUGAACGGCCACAUUGGGACUGAGACACGGCCCAG